rnacentral:rRNA from 1 species
GACGAACGCUGGCGGCGUGCUUAACACAUGCAAGUCGAACGCUGAAGCCCUUUCGGGGGUGGAUGAGUGGCGAACGGGUGAGUAACACGUGGGUAAUCUGCCCUGCACUCUGGGAUAAGCCUUGGAAACGGGGUCUAAUACCGGAUAGGACACAUCGCCGCAUGGUGUGUGUGUGGAAAGUUACGGCGGUGCAGGUUGAGCCCGCGGCCUAUCAGCUUGUUGGGGGGGUGAUGGCCUACCAAGGCGACGACGGGUAGCCGGCCUGAGAGGGUGACCGGCCACACUGGGACUGAGACACGGCCCAGACUCCUACGGGAGGCAGCAGUGGGGAAUCUUGCGCAAUGGGCGAAAGCCUGACGCAGCAACGCCGCGUGGGGGAUGACGGCCUUCGGGUUGUAAACCUCUUUCGACCGGGACGAAGGGUGACUGACGGUACCGGUAGAAGAAGCACCGGCUAACUACGUGCCAGCCGCCGCGGUAA